ACUCCUACGGGAGGCAGCAGUGGGGAAUAUUGCACAAUGGGCGCAAGCCUGAUGCAGCCAUGCCGCGUGUGUGAAGAAGGCCUUCGGGUUGUAAAGCACUUUCAGUUGUGAGGAAGGUGGUGUCGUUAAUAGCGGCAUCAUUUGACGUUAGCAACAGAAGAAGCACCGGCUAACUCCGUGCCAGCAGCCGCGGUAAUACGGAGGGGUGCGAGCGUUAAUCGGAAUUACUGGGGCGUAAAGCGCAUGCAGGUGGUUUGUUAAGUCAGAUGUGAAAGCCCGGGGCUCAACCUCGGAACUGCAUUUGAAACUGGCAGACUAGAGUACUGUAGAGGGGGUAGAAUUUCAGGUGUAGCGGUGAAAUGCGUAGAGAUCUGAAGGAAUACCGGUGGCGAAGGCGGCCCCCUGGACAGAUACUGACACUCAGAUGCGAAAGCGUGGGGAGCAAACAGGAUUAGAUACCCU
rnacentral:rRNA from 1 species